CGGGCUCCCCGAGUGGGGGCGGGGGCUGCGCGGCCCUUGAACCUUGGGGGAGCCAGAACUUGGCUUUGGUGGCUGAAACUUUGUUUGACCCCUUGAAUCCUGCAGGACAUCAGAGGCCGGGGCCAGGCAGCGGGCAGUUAGGAAGCCGGUCCCUGGAGGCUGGCUUCUCUUUCCGCAUGACCUUGGGGCGAGGCACCUCCUUCUGCAGCUCCGUGCGUGUGUUUUUAUAACACUUCCCAGCGCCGGCUCAGCUCCCUGCGAGGCGCGGCCACGCCCCGUCCAAGCUGGAGCCUGAGAAAUUAUUGUCCCCGGGUCACAAACCGAGGCCCGAAAGGGGGAAGAAGCGACUGGUUCAAGGCCGCACAGCUGGCCGCGGAGCCCUCUGAAGCCUCCUGCAGCCUCAGUUUCCCUGUCCGUGGUGCUGAGGAUGCCAGGGCCUAGAGGGUCGGGGCGGGCGGAGCGGCAUCCCCGCAGCCGCCCUGAGUACUGGCCAAAGAUCCUGUUUUUACCGGGCAUGAGCUGGGACAAGAGGGUUCUCUGGCUGCUUAGGAAAUUCAGCGCCUGGCUUGCAGGAAAUGGCUUCUACGUGGGGAUUUCACAGUCUUCGGGAAGAAAACAUCUCUCUUUAGCAGUGUGCACUUGGCUGAACUUGCUCCAAGAAAAAUGCGCUCAUUGAACAAAAGGAUUAUGAUGAAAGGGGGCUUUUGUCAAGGCAGCUGUGGAGAGUCAUCUGUGAUGGUGUAUACGGCACACGGUAGGUGCUCAGGAGAAGUGCCAGGCAUAUCACCAGCCGAAGGAGAAAUCCAGAAAGGUAAAUAUGCCCAUGACCCUUGAGGUAGCAACCCCGUUCUCAAGACUGCCGCCCAAGAAAAGAAGUCAUCGACAGCAAAAAGCCCUGUGCAUAAAACCGGCCAUCACCGUGUUCUCUCACUGAAGAAAGCUGGAAAUAACCUAAAUGUUUGUCUAGUGCCCUGGACUGGGCUAGAAAGGAUGUUGGUGUUAUCAGACAGCAGUGAAGUUGGUAAGCAGGUUCAUUUUCCACACAUUUCUCAAGUGCCUUCAGUGUGCCAGCCAGAGGACUUGGCAGUACUGGGCAGUGAGGAAACCAGCUAUGCCUGGCCCCUGCUCCAAUCUGGACUAGCAGUACUGCCCACCCCACGCCACCCUCUCCCUCUCCCCUCACCCUUGUUAGUUGCUCUAUUGUGUAUUGUCUGUGUCCCCACCGGACUGCAACCUCCAGGAGAGCAGGGACCUAAGUGUCUUGUUCUCCAUCACAGUGCCCAGCAGGCCUUGAGGUUUGUAGGCCCUCGGAAGUAUUUGCUGAACCAAUGAAGUUCUGGCUCAGCACUUCCUAACUGUAUGACUCGGUUGAGCCUCAGUUUCCUCAGCUGUAACACGGGGGUUGUAAUCCGCAGGGCACAGGGUCGUUGUGAGGGAGAGCGAGAGGACGUACAGGAAGUGUGCGGUGAGCAGGACCCCCCGCCCCGUAUUCUUGUUACGUGCAACGUGCUGCAUGGCGUGGCUUCUCGGCCAGCAACUGGCAUUCGGCGAUGAAUAAUGCACACACUUGAAGCAACUCAGCCUCGGAAGACAAUGUCAUAUGAGAAAAGAAUGCAAACUGGAAUGUACGUUCUGAUGACCAAAAUGUGAUCAUUUGUGCACAGCUGGACAAAGCUUGGAGAGAAAUUUGCUAUGGCAGCCACUGGUGCUGGAGAGAGUGUGUUCCAAGUGUAAAAUCUUUUCUUCUAGGACAUCGGAAAAAAUUGUCCAAAAGCUCCUUGAUGCUGAAUUCUGAGAGCAGACACACGGUGUGGGUGAUGUGCCUUGGACAGAUUAGAGGCGGGAGAUUAGGGGGUCCCUGUCCAGUCUCUGACAUUCCUGCAGACUGGUUCCUCUGGUCUGGCCUGAGGAACCUGGCAGAGGAGUCACCAUGGCCACUGGGCAGACCAGGGGCCUCCCCCAAGGAACAAAGGGAUCCACUCAGGGGCCCCAGCCCUGCCACCAGCUCCAGCUGCAAGGCCUGCAAGGCUUCGUGCGUCUACCUCCUCUCAAAAGAGAGGAGCCACUUGUCAAGCACUUGGUAGGAGCGGGCCCUGUGCAAGCGCCUUACUUGUAUCCAGCAUCUUUGAACUUUCACUGCCAGCAGUGUGGUGAGUGUAAUUAGCACCUCGUCUCUCAGGUGAGAAUGGUUUACCAGGAGGUAAAACCAUUUGUCCAAGGCAGGCAGCUAGUAAGGACAGGACCCAGGACCCACCCAGGACUCUGCUCUCUGAAUGUAGGAGAACCCCAUCCUUCUGCACCAAAAACACCUUUGACCCAGAAAGUCCAAGGCACUUGGCACAGUGGGAGUUCCCUAGAGGGCUGGAGAAGGACAGCCCUGUGUCUGUGGACAGGUGGGACUUUUCCAUUCUUUGAGGCUCCUAGCACUUUCAAAAAUGAAGAAAUGCAGGCAUAACUUUUUUUAUUGCUCCUCACAAAUACAUUUUUUCCAAAUGGAAGGUUUGUGGCAACCCUGCAUAGAGCAAGUCCAUUGGUAGCAUUUUUCCAACAGCAUUUGUUCACUUCAUGUCUGUGUCACGUUUUGGUAAUGUUGGCAGUAUUUCAAACUUUUAUUAUAUUUGCCACUGUGAUCUGUGAUCAGUGAUCUUUGAUGUUUUGGUGGACAAAAAAUAUUGCCCGCUAUUUCAGUAAGGACAGCUGUGCUCACCACCCCCUCCCAGGCUACACUCAAGACCCGGCACCCCAACUUCAGCUCUGAGCCUUAAAAUAUUAAUGUGAGCUCAGAGAGAUCAAUGGACUGAAAUCCUACCUGCUCAAGGUUGGGUUACAAAGCAGAAACACAGAUGUAGAGAACAAACGUAUGGACACCAAGCGGGUGUGGGGGAGGUGAAUUGGGAGAUUGGGAUUGACAUAUAUAUACUUAUAUGUAUAAAAUAGAUAACUAAUAAGAACCUGCUGUAUAAAAAAAAAUACGAAAAAAAAAAAGAUUGGGUUACAGCCCUGCCAGCAGUGUGACAUGGAACUGGGCCCCUUCACUCAGUGCCUGGGUUUGGCCCCAGUCCAGGAUGCUCUGUCAGCUAGAGACUUGGCAGGCCAGCAGCUUCCAGAGGUCUCAGCCUUUCUCAGAGGCAUCCUUCUACCAUACACCUAGCCUCAAUGCUUCAAGGCCACAGGUAGGACCUAGGGCCCAGAGAGUUUAAUGAAAGCAGGUGACUUGUAUGCCCAUGCGUCCAGUGGAUGGGACAGGCCCUCGCCCCAUACCCCAUAUGCAGGUAUCCUGAGUAUAUAGCAUUAGACAUAAAAACCUGUCUUUGGAACUUUUGCCUCCACCAACUGUGUGACCUAGGACAAGUUACCUACCCCUCUAUACCAGAUGGAGAUAAUUGUUCCUACCCUACAAGUUUGUUGGGGGCAGUCACGGAAGCCAGCAGGGAAAGGGCUGGGCUCAAAGUCAAGGACACACAAAGGGUAGCUGUGCCCUUCUACUGAUUGUUCUCUGGAUUCCCAGAGACUGGCAGAGAGCAGCCAUCCUCUGUUAGUAAGAGUGGCCCUGCAGCAACUCAUCCCAAGUACCAUGAGGGAAGCAAAGCCUGCAGGAACUCUGGCGAUGCAGGGCCUCCCAGAAGUCUACCAGGGCCUGGGGACUUUUCCAUUCUUUGAGGCUCCUAGCACUUUCAAAAAUGAAGAAAUGCAGGCAUAACUUGUUUUAUUGCUCUUCACAAAUACAUUUUUUCCAAAUGGAAGGUUUGUGGCAACCCUGCAUGGAGCAAGUCUAUUGGUAGCAUUUUUCCAACAGCAUUUGUUCACUUCAUGUC